CAUACUAUAGCUUAAC
rnacentral:tRNA from 1 species